UGGUGUUUCAAGUGUUUGUAGUGUGUUGCUAUGGUUUUUCAAGUGUUUGUAUUGUGUCGCUAUGGAGUUUCAAGUGUUUGUAGUGUGUCGCUAUGGUGUUUCAAGUGUUUGUAGUGUGUCGCUAUGGUGUUUCAAGUGUUUGUAGUGUGUCGCUAUGGUGUUUCAAGUGUUUGUAGUGUGUCGCUAUGGUGUUCCAUAUGUUUGUAGUAUGUCGCUAUGGUGUUUCAAGUGUUUGUAUUGUGUCGCUAUGGAGUUUCAAGUGUUUGUAGUGUGUCGCUAUGGUGUUUCAAGUGUUUGUAGUGUGUCGCUGUGUUCUUUCAGGUGUUUGUAGUGUUGCUCUGGUGUUCCAUAUGUUUGUAGUGUGUCGCUAUGGUGUUUCAAGUGUGUUUGUAGUGUUGCUCUGGUGUUCCAUAUGUUUGUAUUGUGUCGCUAUGGUGUUUCAAGUGUUUGUAGUGUGUCGCUAUGGUGUUUCAAGUGUUUGUAUUGUGUCGCUAUGGUGUUUCAAGUGUUUGUAUUGUGUCGCUAUGGUGUUUCAAAUGUUUGUAGUGUGUCGCUAUGGUGUUUCAAGUGUUUGUAUUGUGUCGCUAUGGUGUUCCAUAUGUUUGUAGUCCGUUGCUAUGGUGUUUCACGUGUUUUUAGUCUUUUGCUAUGCUGUUGCUGUAGGGUAUCCUGUGUGGUUGCCAAGUCUUUGUGAUAUUCUGCUCAGCUGUCAAUCAUCUCUGUUUGAUGAGCACGUGAGCAGUAAACUGUUCAGUUCUGGAUGCAGUGAUGGUGCUCUGUGAGUUUGUAACGAUCCCCUCAGGACCUCAUUUCCUGCGGCUGCAUCUGAACGACUGUCAAACCAGAUCUCUGCAUGACAGUCACAGUAAAACCAGAGCUGGAAAUUAGCCACUAAUUAACAAGGUUCUAAUGAUGCUCUUUGAUGAGAGAAGGUUUUUUCUGAGCUAUUUUUAUACAAAUAAUUUUGCUUUUAUCUGUAGUCAUCACAGUUCUCAGGUAUGUUCUGGUGCUUUAAAGAACCUAGAAACAAAUACGCUAAUCUGAAAUAUUAGAUGCUUAUAGCUUCAAUAAGAUCCAUAUAAGUAAUGAA
ensembl:lncRNA